rnacentral:lncRNA from 10 species
GCUCGGGUUCCUUUCCUCAUGGUGGAAGGUUUGUUUUUUGCUCUUUGCAAUAAAUCUUGCUACUGCUAACUCUUUGGGUCCACACUGCUUUUAUGAGCUGUAACACUCACCGGGAAGAUCUGCAGCUUCGCUCCUGAGUCAGCGAGACCACGAACCCACCAGAAGGAAGAAACUCUGAACACAUCCGAACAUCAGAAGGAACAAACUCCAGACGCACCACCUUAAGAGCUGUAACACUCACCGCGAGGGUCCACAGCUUUAUUCUUGAAGUCAGUGAGACCAAGAAUCCACCAAUUCCGGACACAAUUGUAAGAACUUUCUCCUUUCUUUGAACUGUAUAUAAAGACUUUUUAAAACUAGAUAGAUAGGUCUUUGCCAACUUUAAGACCCAGCAUUGUCUUUUCUCAAGAACUUAGGAGCCAUCUCUUUGAAAUAUAAACAACAAAGGAGGUAACAAAAUGUAUCUUCCCCCUUCUGUAGCAGAGUAAGAGCCUAACUUGCUCCAAAUUGCAAAACUACCUCUUGUCAUAAAAGAUAUAAGAAGUUUGUUUUUUACCGUGGAUAAGCCAAUUAGUCAAUUAUGGUGACAUGGAUGGUAAUCACAAUUACCAGAAGGAAGAUAAGAGUAUCACAAGGAUAACCUCUGUGAGUAGAGCAUGGCUUAUCUUCUUGGCCUAUUGAAGAUUUCAUCAAAGGUAUUUAGAUCCUAAAUCAUUGGUGGCUUCAUCAUGCUAGCAGACUCAAGCAAAAGACUUUCUCCUUUCUUGGUUUUGAAGAAGUGAGCUGCCAUAUUGGCAGAGUGCCCAUGGAGAGGGACAUGUGGCAAGGAGCUUCAGGAAGCUUCUAGGAGUCGUGAUCAUCCCUGGCUGGUAGCCAGCAUGAAAACCAUGAUAAAAU